rnacentral:rRNA from 1 species
AACGAACGCUGGCGGCAUGCCUAACACAUGCAAGUCGAACGAGACCUUCGGGUCUAGUGGCGCACGGGUGCGUAACGCGUGGGAACCUGCCUUUAGGUUCGGAAUAACUCCGAGAAAUUUGUGCUAAUACCGGAUGAUGUCUUCGGACCAAAGAUUUAUCGCCUUUAGAUGUGCCCGCGUUUGAUUAGCUAGUUGGUGGGGUAAAUGCCUACCAAGGCGACGAUCCAUAGCUGGUCUGAGAGGAUGAUCAGCCACACUGGGACUGAGACACGGCCCAGACUAGUACGGAAGCAGAAGGGGGGAAAAAGGGAAAAUGGGCAGAAGACUGAUGCAGCAAAGGCGCGUGAAGGAUGAAGGCCUUAAGGUUGUAAAGCUCUUUUACCCGAGAUGAAAAUGACAGUAUCGGGAGAAUAAGCUCCGGCUAAAUCCGUG